GACGAACGCUGGCGGCGUGCUUAACACAUGCAAGUCGAACGGAAAGGCCCUGCUCUUGUGGCGUGCUCGUGUGGCGAAGGGGUGAGUAACACGUGAGUAACCUGCCCUUGUCUGUGUGAUAACUUCUGGAAACAGGGGCGAUUACCGGAUAGGAUCUCUUGCUGCACGGUGGUGGAUGGAAAGAGUCGGCGGUUGGGGAUAGACUCGCGGCUUAUCAGCUUGUUGGUGGGGUAGUUGCGUACCAAGGCUUUGACGGGUAGCCCGCCUGAGAGGGUAGACGGCGUCAAUGCGACUGAGAGACGCAGCAGUCGCCAACCGGACGCAGCAGGGGAGAGUCUGACACAGUGGCGCGGCGCGUGAUGUAGCGAUCCUGCGUGCGGGAAACCGUGUUAUGAGUGGUGAACAUAUGUCGCCGGUGACGAGGCGUUAGUGACGGUAACGGGUCAAGAAGCCACGGCUAACUACGUG
rnacentral:rRNA from 1 species